rnacentral:rRNA from 1 species
GACGGAGGAUGCAAGCGUUAUCCGGAAUGAUUGGGCGUAAAGCGUCCGCAGGUGGCAGUUCAAGUCUGCUGUCAAAGACCAGGGCUUAACUUCGGAAAGGCAGUGGAAACUGAACAGCUAGAGUAUGGUAGGGGCAGAGGGAAUUCCUGGUGUAGCGGUGAAAUGCGUAGAGAUCUGGAGGAACACCGAUGGCGAAGGCAGCCUUCUGGGCCAACACUGACGCUCAUGCACGAAAGCGUGGGGAGCAAACAGG